rnacentral:rRNA from 1 species
AGAGUUUGAUCCUGGCUCAGGAUGAACGCUGGCGGCGUGCUUAACACAUGCAAGUCGAGCGAAGCGCCUAAGAAAGAUUCUUCGGAUGAAUUCUUUGGCGACUGAGCGGCGGACGGGUGAGUAACGCGUGGGUAACCUGCCUCAUACAGGGGGAUAACAGUUAGAAAUGACUGCUAAUACCGCAUAAGCGCACAGUGCUGCAUGGCACAGUGUGAAAAACUCCGGUGGUAUGAGAUGGACCCGCGUUGGAUUAGGCAGUUGGCGGGGUAACGGCCCACCAAACCGACGAUCCAUAGCCGGCCUGAGAGGGUGAACGGCCACAUUGGGACUGAGACACGGCCCAAACUCCUACGGGAGGCAGCAGUGGGGAAUAUUGCACAAUGGGGGAAACCCUGAUGCAGCGACGCCGCGUGAGUGAAGAAGUAAUUCGUUAUGUAAAGCUCUAUCAGCAGGGAAGAAAAUGACGGUACCUGACUAAGAAGCCCCGGCUAACUACGUGCCAGCAGCCGCGGUAAUACGUAGGGGGCAAGCGUUAUCCGGAUUUACUGGGUGUAAAGGGAGCGUAGACGGCCGUGCAAGUCUGAUGUGAAAGGCUGGGGCUCAACCCCGGGACUGCAUUGGAAACUGUAUGGCUGGAGUGCCGGAGAGGUAAGCGGAAUUCCUAGUGUAGCGGUGAAAUGCGUAGAUAUGUGGAAGAACACCGAUGGCGAAGGCAGCCCCCUGGGACGCAACUGACGCUCAUGCACGAAAGCGUGGGGAGCAAACAGGAUUAGAUACCCUGGUAGUCCACGCCCUAAACGAUGUCUGUGGGUUGUUGGGAAUUUAAUUUCUCAGUAACGAAGCCAACGCGUGAAGCAGUCCGCCUGGGGAGUACGGUCGCAAGAUUAAAACUCAAAGGAAUUGACGGGGACCCGCACAAGCGGUGGAUGAUGUGGAUUAAUUCGAUGCAACGCGAAAAACCUUACCCAGCCUUGACAUGUCAGGAAUGCUUCGGAGAUGAGGCAGUGCCCGCAAGGGAACCUGAGCACAGGUGCUGCAUGGCUGUCGUCAGCUCGUGUCGUGAGAUGUUGGGUUAAGUCCCGCAACGAGCGCAACCCUUGUCAUCAGUUGCUACGAAAGGGCACUCUGAUGAGACUGCCGGUGACAAACCGGAGGAAGGUGGGGAUGACGUCAAGUCCUCAUGGCCCUUAUGGCUGGGGCCUCACACGUCAUACAAUGGUCGGAACAGAGGGCAGCGAAGCCGCGAGGUGAAGCCAAUCCCAGAAAACCGAUCGUAGUCCGGAUUGCAGUCUGCAACUCGACUGCAUGAAGUCGGAAUCGCUAGUAAUCGCGGAUCAGCAUGCCGCGGUAAAUACGUUCCCGGGUCUUGUACACACCGCCCGUCA